rnacentral:sRNA from 1 species
UGACAAAGGUGUUCGGUAAUAUAUCACCGA